rnacentral:lncRNA from 1 species
GCUCCUGGGGCUGCCAGCGCCCGCAGUCCCUGCCCAUCCCGUCUGGGACGCAGGAUCCCUCUGUGAACAAGUUGGAGGCAGAGAGAAGGAGGACGGCAAGGAGAGAGCUGGUCACCCUCUGACCAGCGGCUGUGCCCCGCAACACCGACGGCCAGACCCAGGGCGGCCCCUCCUGGCAACCCUGCUCCUCCCGCAGGAUGCUUUGGGAUUGAGGCCACUCCUCAUCCCUGCAGCCCCCUACUCCCCUCCGUUCUCCUGAGGCUCCCAGAGACUGCAGCUGUCCUCCCUGCUCUCCUACCCAGCGCUUGCCCCAUUUGGGGUCCAGCAAAGUCUCUCUGUUAAUGAGAGGCCAGUGAGGAGGACUUCCUGGAGGGGGUGACAGCCCAGAGCUCAGGACUGUGCCCACACCCGCAGGCAUCAGCAGCAAGGUAAGUGCUGGGAGAAGGGGGGAUUCCCAACCCCUUGUCCUGUCCCCUUGCUCCAGCCUGUGCCUUCUUGGGUAGGUCAAAAAAUGGAAAAUAUUUUUAACAAAACCAGAUGGGAGGAGGCCGGGAGGCUGUGGGCCACGUCAGGGCUGGAGAAGCUAGUUCUCUCCUCUCCUGCUCAGGCUGCUUCUGGGGUGGGUGGUCUCAGUCUCCAUAGCCCUGCUGCCCCCUGCCUUCAUCAAAUGAACCCCAGAGGUUUCUGGGUGCCAACGGAGGGCCUCCAAAACGUAGCACUGCCUGACGGGGCUGGGGAGAGCUGGAAGGAGCUUGAGAGGGGCAUUGGGAGGUGGCAAGCAGGGUACACGGAUAGGGGACCUCAGAGCCAUGGCCCCUGUCUCUGGGCCCAAGCCUUGUCCUUAAGAAUCCAUCUGGCUCCAGGCCAGCCGGCCGCCAGGCAACCUCUUCGGAUUUAAAUGGAUUUGCAAAUUUUCCAGAUUCCUAAGAUGUCCUUCCAAACCCCCAGUGGCUGGGAAAGUGCGAAGGCAAGGGGGCUGUGGCAAGGCUAGCGGUCACGGUCACGCAGCUGGGGCUGUGGGGCUGGGGGUCUGGGACCGGUCGUCAGAUGUGGGGGCCCCUCUGUGAAGAAGGGGGUCACGUCGCUGGGCCCUUCCCUCUGGACUCAGGCAGCUGCUCAGGCCGCCUUGCUGUCUCCCUCCUUCCGGACGCUGCUUUCACUCCAUCCUAAAACAUGAAUCUGAUCACGAUUCCUUCUUUGAUUCUCCCCUAUAGAAAGCCCCAACUCCUAAUAGUAGCUGCCAUUGAUUGACAUUUACUGCAUGCCAGGACCGCGUGGAGAGCUUUAUGAGCAUGAUCUCACGGAACUCACCAGCAGCUCCAGAGGCAGGGACGGAUUUUAUGUUGGUUGUACGUGUGAGGUUCACAGCAGCUACAAAACUGUGCCACGCUGCUACUAAGUGGCAGAGCUCCGGGAGAUAACAGGCUCCCUGCCUCGUUUCUCCAAACCUGGGCCUUGUGUCAGUCAGAUCCCAGGGUUCUCAGGAGGAGUAAGCACAAUCCUGCCUAUGAGAAUGCCCUUCCUCAUCCCCUCCAUUUUCUUUCAAGGACCUUGCCUACUUCACCUCCUCCAGGCAGUCUUCCGAGGUUCUUCCAGUCUUCCAAGUGUUUGUCAUGCCCUUUUGCCUUGUUGCUUGGCCUUCUCUUCCUGUUUGUGCUCUGUGUUCUGCCCCCAGCAUCUGCCGGCGGUCAGUGGAACCGAGAAAACGUGCCGGGGAAGGGAGGAGGGGCUCCGCCGAAAACCUCCUGUUCCCAAAUGUGAGACCAGAACCAGGCCCCGGCCUUCCCUCCGGUGACCUUCCAGAGCAUCAUGUAGUUCCUCCAGACUGCAUUUUUCUAUGUCAGACAAGGAGGAGUGUCCCUGCCCGCCUCUGCAAUCCCAGAGGGCACAGAGGCCUCUAGUGAGAUAUCUGAAGUCACACAGUCCUCCCCUGCCUCCAUGCAAGACGCCCUCAACCCGCAGUGCUCCAGGAUGAGGAUCGUGUUGGUCACUGUCAAGGAGGGCUUGCCCUGUGCCAGGCCCAGAGCCUGGAACCUCACCUACCAGGUCUUGGGAAUUGGUAUUGUUGUUACCCCUAUUUUGCAGACAAGGAAACCAAGGCCCAGAGAGGCUAUGUGACUUUCCCAGUGUCACACAGUUAGUAGAGUUGGUACUUCGGCCCGUGUCUGCUUGAAAGCAAAGACGUAACCCUUUGCUACCCAGGGAGCCCCAGGUCAGAAGGAAGACAGGCUCCGUCCUCCCACAUAGGCUGCUCCUGGCUCCGGCACCUUCUGUGGCAGUUAAGUUCAGCUUCAGGCCCCACCUGCUCCCAGGUCCGCCAGGAGCCUGGCCUGGCCCUAAGUGAGGAAGGAGACCAUCUGGUCAGCACCUUCCCUUCAGGGGUGAUCAGGCAGCCCUCCCUCCUCUGUGGGAAGAAAAGCUGAGACUUGUAAUUGCCCACAGAUGUGGGACAGCGGAAAGCACCGUAGAUUCAGAGUCAGGAGACCUGGCGUUUGUCCUGGCUCAACUCAAGUCCACUGUGUGGCCAACUUCGGGUCCCCAUGUCCUUUUUCCGGGCUGCAUCCACAUCUCGAAGGCAGUGGGCACCAUGCGUAAACGACGUCAGGUUUGGGCAUCAGAUGACUGUGCAUCAAUCCCUAGUUGGCUCCUGGCUGGCCGGGUGACCCUGUGUCUGAUUGGGCAUCAGUCCCCUCCUCUGUGAGCAGCAGGGAGGUAUGUAGGCCGUGCGAGUAUAACAUAGGUAAGGCGCUUGCACUUUACAGGGCUGGACCUAAUGCCAUUGGCUAAGAGAGGGUCGCUGCUCUCUCCGCCUCCUGCACAGGACUUGGCGGUGAAAGCCGUCUGCGAUCCACAAAGGGCAAUGCCCACAGAAGGGGCUUGGAUACCGUGGGGAUUCUAAAGGCCCAGUUCCAUCUUCCAGGCACAGGCUGGUUCUGAGACCAGCUGCCUUCAGGACUGAAGGAGGGGAGUUGUGCUUUGCUCGGGAUGGGCUACUGAGUGUGGCGGGGAGGGCGGAAGGAAUGAGAGGGUCCCCUAGACUUCCCUGAAAUGCCCUUCAUGCCCACCUUACUUCCUCACGCAUGUUUCAGAACGCUGUAGGCAGUGGGCCCUUGGAAUAGGGGGAGAUCUUCCUCCACUGCUUUCCGUAGGCCUUCCUGCCCUUCCCCCCCUCCCCCCCCCAGGGCAGAGUUCAUAGCACCUCAGCUGGGAAGUAGAGUGGGCAGGGUGAUAUAACAGGGACAGCGAUUCCUGAGCGGUUCUGUUGUGCCUCCCAUCCAUUACUGUGAAGUUCACUGCUGGGUUCCUUGGGGCUUCGAACAGGCCCAGCAUUCAGAAAGCGCUUAAUAAAUAUUUGCCAAACUAAUAUAAUCAUCACAGCAACCUCCAGGCGUAGAUAGAAACCCUCUCUGUUUUAUACGAGGAACUGCCCAGAGAGGUUAAGUCAUUUGCCCAACGUCCCACAGCUAGGAAGCCAUAGAACUGGGAUUUGCAUCCGGGUGUUUGUGACUCCAGAGCGCAGGAUGAGAGGCUGGGUGGGGCACGGGCCACCCCUGGGGAUGCAGCACAAACUCUGAGAAUGUGCCGCAGCUGCGGAGGCCCCUCAGAGUUCCAGAGGUGGUCAUCAGACCCUGGAACACAUUCUGUGUGACCGCGGGUGAGUCAGUCCUUCUCUGGGCCUCAGUUUUCCCAUCUGUGAGACCAGGAGGCUGAACAAGAUGAUCUCUGAGCUCCUUCCAGGCCCCAAACAAUUCCAGGAUUCCAAGCCACGCCAGCCCGGAUUGGCAGCCACACAAGCUCUGUUGUGUACUCAGGCAUCAUGCAUAUUUAACUUCACAAUGAAAGGGGUUUUUCUUACCCUUUCUCCAUCCGUUACAGAAAGAGGUCGGGAUCGAUGACCACUAAUGGAAAACUGUAACCUGCAAUAAAGAGGGGGAACUUUCUAUAGUUAGAGCAGCCUGUUAACGCACUUGGUUUCUCAGGGAGCUCUGAGGGUGUGUGCCUGCGGAGCCCGUUUUCCUGGGAUACAGAGGAAGGAGGGUAGGGAGGUGUGCAUGUUGGGGUGCAGAUGUGUGGAUGCUGUGACCAUUUAGGCCCCUUCCAGUGCUGAUGUUUCGAAUCUCAUACGCUCUGAUUUCAAGAGGAAGAAGGGCUUUGGCCCAGUGGUGGUUGGAGCAAUGAUGGGGUCCCGAGGCGAGGGAAUGGUGUGGGGACCCACGCCCCACCUCUGGGUGGGCGCGGGUGUGGAAUCGACACAGUUGUUGCUUCAAGUGUGAGGGUCUUAAGGCGACUCUCACACUUAAGAUCGAAAUCUCCCAAGAUUUCAGACUCAGAGCCCACAGGCAGAAGGGCUUCCUGAAGCCCCAGGCCCUUGCCCCAGGAGCCCCCCUUCCCAGAUGCUUUCUGGGGCACCCUGCCCCCAGCCUAGUGCAGGAGGCUGAAAAUCAAAGUGUAUUGCUUUAGCUGCAUUAAUGCCAUCUGCCAUCUCUUCUCCUUGUUUCAGAUCAGAGCUAUUUGAUGUCUCAGGUGCCCAAAAACCUUUCAUCUGCAGGAGGUACCAGCUUCUCCGCCCUAUGAUGGAGACGGUUGUACUUUAGGAAGUGGGGGCAGCAGGGCCAGGGAGUCCGUUCUUGAAGGUCAGAGACGAAAAGGACUCUGGGGGUUGCCUGGUCCAACUUGCUUAUUCUAUGGGUGGGAAACUGAGGUCCAGAGAAGGGGAGGGACGUAGCUCAAGUCGUACAGAUCAUCCGUGAUAGCACUGAAUCCGGGACCACUGAGCUGGGCAUGUGCUGUGGCUUCUCCAUCCACGUCUGUCAUCCAAGGCUCACUCAGCCCCAGUCCUCCCCGGUGUGAGGUCACAGGGCAGAGUUUGGGCUAAAGAGGAAGUGCCAUUUCCAUGAGGGGUGGGACCCCCCUCCCCCUCCCCCUCCCCCUCCCCCGGGGUAGUUUUGUGGACCGUGGAGCUUUGAUCACAUCACUUCUCCAUUCUGGCCAUAAAUUCCUUUUAUAUACACGAAGGGGAGGCCGAGGGAGCAGCUCAGUGACCCCAGAAGCUCCAUCCCGCUUUGCCCUUAGCCCCUGCCAGGCUUCUGUGGCUGUUUCAAAUCCUUGUUGCUGCCCUGGUAGCCUUCCUUCUUGAGAAGUAGAACUGAAAGACUGUGGCCUGCUAGCUUGUCCACUCCUGAGACUGAGCCGAAGUUGGGUGGGUGGGGGGAUUCCAGGGUCAACGCACAGGGCAAGGCUCCACUUUACAAACCUGUUACAACCCUAGCUCAGGGCACCGGGCUUGAAGGGAAAGGCUCACAUCUGACCCAGCAGACCGUGGGCUUCUCCCCUCUUACCUGUAUUUGUGCCCUUAUCGGUUCCCAGGCUGGGGCCCGUCUGCUGAAUGGGUGGUGAAACAGUGAUAGAUAAAUGCAUGGAGAGAUGAAUAAAACAGACGGGCAGCUGGCUGGCUGGACAGUUGGCCUCCCCUUUAGUCCAGGGAGCAGGGAUGACCUCAUGUGCAUUCCACAUGGGCAGUCACAGAGGCCUCCAUGCUUCGCGGGGGCCCCACACUUGAAAUUGUUAAUAUUGUAACAAGGGCCCCACAAAUUAUAUGACUGGUUCUGCCAGGGGGUUUAGGCAGGGUUUGAGAUGGCUUCAUGUCUGAAACUGGCGUCUCUGCCUCCACUGUCCCCAUUCUAAUCCAUGCCCUCCCACUGAUGCUAACCUGCUCCUAUCAUUCCCAUCUGAGGAGCCCCUCCUCCCACAGUGCUUGGAGUUGGGCUGUAUUGCUGUCCAGCCAGCAGCCAGCCGCCCCCUUCCCCACUACCAAUGCUCUGAAAGGUUGGCUUCCUCGUGCCUGCAGGGUAAAGCCUAAAUCCUCACCUGGAACCCCCAAACUUUCCCAAAGUAACCUCUGCACUCCUUCCCUGCCCGUCACCUACCUCUUUGCUAAAGAGCCCUGAUUUCUGACCUAGAAGUUUUCUUCCUGCUAUUUUCCCAGAUGCCCCGAGAUCUCCCAUUUCCCAUGCAGAGCCGCUGUGGAAUGCCCUUCCCUGGCAUCACCCACCAAAGAACCCCACUAAACCCUGGAGGCCGAGCUGGAGGCCACCUCCUUCCCACUGAAAUAAUCACAUAUUCAUAAUUGUUGCCAUUUACUGAGCACCUAUUAUGUGACGGGUGCUUUUCGUCAUCAUCUUACCCCUCCCAGCAAUGGAAAAGGAAGUCUCUUCUGUCAUUUUCCGGGAGGCUGGGACUCAAGAAAGUGAAAGUCAGAGAGGUCACACAGUUACAAGGUGGUAGAGCCGGCCCGGAACUUGGAUCUGGAUUAAGUGGCUUCAGAAUGGAACUGCUACACCUGGUCCGGCUGGGCUCCAUGUGCUUUCCAUGCCCUGGGUGGCAUCAGGGUCUCCUUUUGCCCUCUCGUCAGCUGGUCCCAUUACCACCCUGGAGGGAAAGAGUCCCCAUCGCUUGCCCGUCCCAGCUCCCCAGCUUAGCGAACCCCAAGGUGUUAGGGGACAGCUGAGGCUUGAAGACCAGAAGGGCUGACCCUACAAGGCCAUUUGAUCCCUUACGCUGUGUAGGCAUCUAUUAAGCAUCUACCGUAAAGCCUAAUUCUGAAUUAGGAAUUUGGAGGCUCAGGGCGCCUGGGUGGCUCAGCCAGUUAAGCGUCCUACUUCAGCUCAGGUCAUGAUCUCGCGGUUCGUGAGUUCGAGCCCCGUGUCAGUGCUGACAGCUCGGAGCCUGGAGCCUGCUUCAAUUCUGUCUGUCUGUCUCUCUCUCUCUCUCUCUCUCUCUCUCUCUCUGCCCCUCCCCAACUCUCUCUGUCUCUCAAAAAUAAACAUGGGGGAAAAAAACCAAAAAGGAAUCUAGGGGCCUCUGAAAAAAAUAUUAGGUGUGUUUCCUCAUUUGUGGGGGAAUCAAAUGAAGGGAUUAAGACAAAGGUCCAGGAAGGAAGUGGUUGGCAGACAGGGGACCGGGAGUCAUUGCACUUGGGUCGUGGUCCUGGGUGGGCCUUGAAAUCCCUGACUAUGCUAGGAGACACCCCGCCCCCACCCUGGCUGAGCCUGCUGGCAAUGCCAAUCACAACAGCAGCUGCCCCUUCCUAAGGAGCCCUUCUGGAAGGGGCUUUCCUACCUUCUCAUUUGUCACGUGCAAUCCUUGGCUGACGAGCCUGGCCAGGGGGCCUGGGCGAGUGAGCGAGCGAGUGAGUGAGUGAGUUACUCUCCCGUGAGUGAAGAAGAACGAGGCCACUGACUGGCUGUGUGCCAGGCCCUGUUCUAAGCAUUUUACUUGUAUGAACUCAUUCAAUGGCCUCCACAGCUUGGUGAUGAGCCCCGACUUCCAGAUGGGAACGCCGAGGCCCAGAGAAGCGGACUAACAGUCUGGGGGAGAAGCGGGGUGCGGGACUGGAGGAAGGGGCGAGAGAGAGAGAGAGAGACAGACGCUGAGAAAAGGAGAGGGAAGUGAAAUGUGGGAGUUUUCUCCCCUCUGGCUCUGCCGCCCCUGAGGGGAAUCUCAAUGCCCCACGUUGGCUCCAAUUAAUGGCAGGGUUGCUCUUCGCUAGCUCCCUCGGCCUGCCUGUGGGCUUGGGCUCUGGGCUGGCGGGGGCAGGCCACGUGCUGGUGGGUCAGGACAAACGGCCUGAGGCCUGCCUGCCCCCUGCCCACUUGGCUCUGAGGACCCAUUCUAUUUGCGGCCCCCACCCCGGCCCAGGGCUGAUCCGGGGCUGGCAGCAGCCCGGGGAACAGAAGGUUUGCUUGUUUCCGACCGCCGCACCCCCCCCCCCACCCCCCACCCCCGCNNNNNNNNNNNNNNNNNNNNNNNNNNNNNNNNNNNNNNNNNNNNNNNNNNNNNNNNNNNNNNNNNNNNNNNNNNNNNNNNNNNNNNNNNNNNNNNNNNNNNNNNNNNNNNNNNNNNNNNNNNNNNNNNNNNNNNNNNNNNNNNNNNNNNNNNNNNNNNNNNNNNNNNNNNNNNNNNNNNNNNNNNNNNNNNNNNNNNNNNNNNNNNNNNNNNNNNNNNNNNNNNNNNNNNNNNNNNNNNNNNNNNNNNNNNNNNNNNNNNNNNNNNNNNNNNNNNNNNNNNNNNNNNNNNNNNNNNNNNNNNNNNNNNNNNNNNNNNNNNNNNNNNNNNNNNNNNNNNNNNNNNNNNNNNNNNNNNNNNNNNNNNNNNNNNNNNNNNNNNNNNNNNNNNNNNNNNNNNNNNNNNNNNNNNNNNNNNNNNNNNNNNNNNNNNNNNNNNNNNNNNNNNNNNNNNNNNNNNNNNNNNNNNNNNNNNNNNNNNNNNNNNNNNNNNNNNNNNNNNNNNNNNNNNNNNNNNNNNNNNNNNNNNNNNNNNAUUCUGUACGGACCCCAUUAGGGUAAACUCUCUGCGGACUGUUCCUCCGUGGACAGACCUGUUUCUGGGUGGGAGACAGGCCGGCUCUCGUGGCGGUUGAGCCUCCAGGUUUGGAGUCAGACAAGCCUGAGUUUGCGUCCCCGAUUCGUGGCUUACUGGCUGUGUCAGCAUGGGUAAGUCACUAGACCUCUCUGAGACUCAGUUUCCUUGUCAUGAAACAGAAAGCAUGAUUAUAACCCUCUCUCAGCAUUGUUGUGAGGACAGAACAAAACCCCCCCAUGUUAUGAAAAAUUCUGACUAGCCGGACCUCUGAGGAUCCCGAGCCCUCCAAGAGUGGAAUGGGUUAUGGAUGAGGUGGUGAGACGCUGGUCACUGUGCACCACACAGCCUAUUGGCGGGGGGUGGGGGGGUAGGGGGGGGCGCAAAUAGGGAGUAUUUAUGGCCCCUUCCAGCCCCCGGGUUGUGGGGCUCUCUGCCUGUCUCCUACCCUGUUUCUCAGCUUCAGGCUCACCCUGCUACAAGGAGGCUGCACUGAAAGGCGAGGUCGGAAAGCAGAGGGCGAAAGACCAAGGCGGGUGGCUCAUUUGAGGCCAUGCUGUGUGCCAGGCAAGGGCUUGUCAUCUUUACCUCCUGCCUUUGAGAGGCUGUCACGUGGGCGUUGAGCCUGGGCGCUCUGGGGUCAGUCCGCCCAGGACUGAGCACUGGCUCCCCUGCCGGCAAGCUCUGUGACCUUGGGCAAAUGAUUUAACCUCUCUGUGCCUUGCUUUUCUCCUCUGUAAAAUGGAGAGGCGACACAGAGAUCAUGGAUUCUUCUGAGAUCAUUCACAUCAAUGGCUUAGCCCAGGCAUUGGAUACAAACUAAAUCAGAGGUAGCUAUUAUUACUCUUGUUACUUUCAAUGCCUUCUAAGCCCUUGUUCUAUUCUGUAGGCGCUCUAGGGGGUCCAGAUGGGAUCCAUAGGACUCUGGCCCAGGGGCCCACUGGGCCUGGGUAGAGCCAGGCCAUAUGGCCCCGGGGGUGGGGGUGGGCAGCCGUGGGGGACAAGCAGGGAGGCCAGAGAGGCGCCGGAGGAGGCAGGAAGUGUUUGCUCGGCAGGCAGGCAGGCAGGCGGGUGGACGGGAGCAUGUAGAAGCCUCCCUCCCUCACUGACCUCCUUCUCAGGCUGGUUCCCAGCCUGUGUGAGGACCCAGGCCCCCUCCCCUGGGCCCCCAGUGGCCGUGAAGCACACACUGAGCGCUUUCCCACGAACUGUUCCAAGUAGCUGGGCCUGCAGUAUCCCCCACCCCCAAGCACUCGCACUCUGGCGGGUGAGGGGGUGUGUGGCAGAAGGGGGGGGCUGGGGCUGGGGGGGAUCGGUCCGUUCUUUAUCAGCCUGGCUCUGAUCCAGACAGAUGUUUCGUUUUAUUUUGAACUUCCAGAAAAUAGGUCAUUUCUUUCCAUUGUGUCCCCGGGGAGGCCUCCUGGGGCGAGGAACACAGAGUGAGUGACGAGUGUGGGGGCCUCGCUCGGGCCCUGGGGAGCUGGGAGGGCAUCAGCCUCCCUGUGUCAGUCAUGAUGAGCUGUCGGCAGGGCCGGGCCCGGGGCACCAAGGUUCUUAAAGGCGGAGUUAAGAAGCCAGCCCCUUCCUAGGGACAGAAAGGUUCCUCUGGUUGGGGUGUGAGAACAGGAGGGAGGGGACAGACUGGCGGUGAGGAGACAGAAGCGGGGAGGUGCAGCAGGACCGACAGAAGCAACAGAGUAACAGUCCAUGGAACUGGCACGGUUAAUUCCACCCACUUGGACUUCCAGAACAACGAGCGCCCAGGCCAGGCUCCAACUGAGCCGACUGCUGCUGCUUUGUUUGGCGGACCUCAUAGGUACCUGAAAACAUUGAAGGUCCUCUGGGUCUAGAAGCAGCAUGGCAGAGUAGAGCCUGGAUGACCAAGCUGCAUCGCUGUGUGAUUUGGGCCAGGUUGGUCACCCUCUCUGGCCUUGACGUGAUCCUGAGGCUUGUGGGGGGAGUCAUCGUGUAGAGGUGGAGCGUUGAACCUUUACGAACAGACAGAAGUGAGGCAUAGGAUUGAGGGUGGCAGGUGGGAGCCCCUUCCCAGGCUUCUACCCACCCCCCCCCCGACCUGUAACUGUGUCCCUGCCCAGCGGACCCUGCAGUCCUCCCUGGCUCCCACCCACGCCGCAGGAGUGCACGUAGGCCUCAGCUCACUUGGGUUGAGGCCACACGGACCACAGUCUGCCAGGUCCAGCCGGUGUGGCCCUCACUCACGUGCCCUCCCAGCUGCUGGCAGGAGGGCUCAGUCCCUGGCUCCAGAUGCCUCUUGCCCCCACACACUCCCAGGCCCGAAGCUGGCUGCCUUCUCUGAGCUGAGUCAUGACAUCCAGGCCAGGGCCCCUCCCCGGCACCCCACCCCCACCCCAGCGUUCCAGCCCAGCCCAGCCGCCUUCCGGAGCAGGGUCCCGACGGCCACAGCAUGGCAGCUCUGGAAGGGGCAUCCAGGACAGCCCUUCCCCUGUGCGUACACGGGGAAGCCAAGGCUCAGCAAGGGGCAGGACUACCUUGCAAGGUGGGUGACAGAGCUGGGCCGAGGACCCACAUCCCCUUAUUCCCCAGCCAGGGAUCUGCGCCAGUUUGUCCCAGGGGACGCAGAGUGGAGAGAGGUGUAUAGAAGAGAGGACGAGGCUGCAAGCCACUCGAGCCGCUGUCCCGCUUCUGCCUGCAACUUAGUAAGCCAUCUCCUGGGAGUCUCAGUCCCCGUUCCCUGCCUGGCUGGGACAGCGCAGAGAAAGUGACUUUGAUAUAAAGCUUUAUGUAUGGCAGGGCAGGGGGCAUUCUGUGGGGACUGAGACAGUCUGAGCCCCCGGGCCUCGAGCCACCAGCCUCGCAUCAGAGCCAGGGACCUGAGCUUGCCUAGGUCAAAACACUGGGACCUGUCCCUGGUUCUUUCUCAGCCUCAGUUUCCUCACCUGUACAGUGGGCACAGGAAGAGGGUUGGAUUGGAUACAUGAUCCCCGAGGGCCGUGGAGCUCUGAGAUUCCAUGACUCUAACCCCGAGACUCCGUGGCUAGGCCUCCUCCUCCCUCUGGCAUCUUGUUUAUUCGGAGCAUCCCCGGCCCGCCCGGGACUGCCUGCCCCAACGACCCCCUCCUCCCCGCAGCGUGCCUUCCCCCCCAUCCCCAUCUUGCCGCUAUUUGUGCCCGGCCUGUCCCCUGCCGCCAGACUGAGGGGACCUCUGUCCACUCAGGUGCCCCCAGCCACUCCAAACCCUAAAGCAGCUGGGUGGCAGUUCCCAGUCCUGCCCCUCUGCCCCAUUCUCAUCUCAGAAAAUGGCAUUGUGCCCCCAGGACACACACGCUCCUGGCCCCCAAUAUUCCAUGUCCAAAACAGGAGCGGGGGCUCAUUUAAGCUACUCUCGCUCCAGCGCCCCGGCACCUAUCACCAAGUCCUGUGGUUUCUCGGCUAAGCAAGUCUCAUUGCCAUCUGUCUCUCUCCACCCUCUCGCCAGCCCAAACCAAGUAAGUGGAGAAGGUGGUGGUGUAGAGAGAGUUCAGUCUCUGCUCUGCAUUCCUGGGCAAGUUCACCAAGUGCUCCCUGCCUCAGUGUCCCCAUCGAAAACAGGAAUCAUCCUUGUAUCCACCUCCCAGAGUUGCUGAGGAGCAAGUAAAGUCGAAAGAGGCUAAGUGCUCAGAACGGCCACUGGUACAGUAAAUGUAGAACACGCACUGGCUUGUGUUCGGUGUCGUGGAUGUGUGUUCAGGUGUGUCUGGGCCUGCGUGCACACGCUCUGUGCAUAUCGUGUGCACACAGCUCUGCACACGUGCACGCUCCCAUGGGCGUGUGGGAGGCAUGCAGGCGGCAGUCUGUGCCGUGCGCACAUGUGCUGGGCACGGGGAGGGAGGGGAGUGUGUGCACGCGGGGCUUGCGUGGGCAGGCACAUGUUGAGUGCCUGCGUGGGGGCUGGGCACACACAUGGCCCGCUGCACACAGAUGUGUUUCGGAGCAGCGUGCGAGUGAAUGUGCAGGCGGGGGUGUGUGCGUGUGCGUCCACGCUCACCGUAUGCAAGCCUCCCUCCCUGGCAGCCGCAGAGGCCCUCCUCCCUGGCCUCCCUGUGUCGUGGGAGUCUCGGGACCCCGAGGGAGGGAAGCUGCUGCUGGCGGAUGUGGCCAAGAGGGACUGGAUUUAUUUAGAUUAAGGUGGUGGGAAAGGAGUGGAGACUCAGAAGAGCCGGGAGGAGGGAAGGCUGGGCUCACGAGGGAUCCCCAAGCAUGCUUGCUCCCCUGGACUUGAGGUCCUUGAUUCACUGUGAGGAGCUGGGCAAUUACUGCAUCUUGGGACUGACCUCUGUCCCCCUAACCGGGCCAAAAUAAGAGGAAUCGUGAGGCCUUCCUGGUCCUCAGCACUCUCCUCAUGGGCAGAGGGGGGAUCCCUGAGAGUCUCCUCCUUCUCUCUGUUUCAGGGGCCUCCCCAGGCAGGAGAGUACGGCAGGUCGGAGGGUGCCUGCUUCCUGACUGUGACAUCCACCUUGUCCCGGGUGGCUCCUUCCUGGAUUGCAGCCCUCCCCCUAAAGAAGGGGGAGUUGUCACAGGAAAGCCCCUAACCUCCACAUCAGCUGCCUGGACCUCUCUGGGGUUGGCUGGAACCACAGCAGCCUCUGGGAAGCACAGAGGUCCGUCGGCAUUAGGUAGAUAACUGGGCCUGUCAGGGAGUCAUCUAAAGAUGGCCUAGGAGCUUAGGUCUGGGUGCCACCAAACUCCACUCUGGUUCUUCCCCGUCCUCCUCUGGCUUGCUGUCCAUGCCACCUCUGGGGUUUCCGUAUCACCAGCUUACUUGUCUCAAAGUCCCCUGAAAGACCGUCUAACUCCUAAUUGUAGAGAUGGGAAAAGUAAGACCCAGAGAGGCAAACAACUUGUCAAAGUCCACACGGCAUGUCUGUGACCAAAUGGUCAGGGAAAUUCAAUCCACAGAAUGAGAUGGGUUAUGGAUUCUCACGUGACUCCAGCCUCACUAAUGUAGCCCCCUCCUUCUCAUCAGCCCUCACCUCCCUAAACCACCCCAGCAGGAAUAAUAGUGACUAGAACCUUCUCCCUGGCCAGUCAAAAAAGCAGUUUUAGAACAGGAUGGCUCUUUGAGUUGACCCAUCUGAACCUCUCCCUAUAUUCAUAGGGAAACUGAGUCCCAGAGAAGGCAGGGGACUUGCUGAGUCUCCCAGCGAGUCUGCGGUCCCUUGUGACUAGAGCCAAAAUGCUCAUUGCCUAAAGAGAGAAGUCAGUCCAAGAUCCCCGGGGCAUCUAUACUCGCUCUGAGCUCUUUUGCCCGGCCUAUCCUAUCCCUGGCCUGAUUCUGCCUUUUUGCUGUGUGACUAGGUCAUGAUUCUGUCCCUCUCUGGGCCACUGCCUGUUUGAGAAGGCCCCUCAUGGAUUAGAGUCUCAAAGACUCUAAGCUGCCCCCAGCCCGAGGCCCAGCAGGAGAGGAGCCAGGGUCAGGGGAACUGGGGGCCCAGCCGGCAUGGCCCAGCCUUCCAGAGCCAGGCCAGCCCUGGUUACAGUGACCUCCCAUCUCCAGGCCAGCCGACCAAAUUCCUCCUUUAGAAUAAUAAACAGUGUGGCCAGCCAGGGAGGCUGCGAGGGGAGGGGCAGGGAGGCUGAAAUGACCCCCUCCCCCAGCCUGGGCUGCUAAUGAUUUUCUUUGGCUGAGAUCUCGGGCAGGAAGGGGGGAGCCAGAGGGGCACCCACCGAGGGGCAGAUGGGCCUCCGUGGGGGCUGCUGGCUCUGCCACGGCCUGGCUCCCUCCUGCCGGAGGAGGCCUGGCAUCCAGCUGGAGGGGCUGGGGCAGGAGGCAAGGGAGUGGGGGUGUGUGGAAGGGCUGAGCUUCGGGUCCGGGACAGUGGGGAGAGAGGAGAGGGGAGAAAUGAGGGGAACCUCAGGCAGGCCAGUCUGAAGGGGCAGGAGGAGGAAGAAGGGCAGAGCAGAGCUGCUCAGGGAGCUUCGUGGGGUGCUGGGCAGAGGGGAGCCGGGGGCCCACUAGUAUGUGUCAAUGCAGCCCUGUGAGUGGUAAGCUUCCUGUCAUCCCUCUUUGAGAGUUGGAGACUGAGGACAUAGGGACAGCAGUGGCACAGGAGGCAGCCGCGCCGGGGCUCGAACCGGGACCCUGGCCCUGGAUUGGAGAGUAAAAGGGCCAAGAUGGGGAGUGGAGUGGGGGCAAGCCAGGCUUGGCCGCAGGAGCAGGACCUGGCUGGGCAGCCCCUCAGGGAAGUCAGCAGCCCCGCAGCACCAGGAGGCUCCCUGUUGCCCGGUCAUGUGGUCACUUCUCACGUUUCUUGCUCUGUGAUCCUGUCCACUUCUGGCCUCCUUCCUGUCGAUGCCGUGGGCAGACCCUUGUAAGCCUGGCCAUUGGUGGUUAUUUGGGACCCUCAGAUAGGGCUGCCAAGGGCAGGGAUCGAGCAAAGACCCACCUAAUGCAGUCUGUGUCUCUGUGUUCCUGCCUCUGUCUCUCGCUGCCUCCUUUGGUCUCUGUGUUUGUCUCUCUCUGCCUCUAUCAUCCCAGGUGUCUUUGUCUCCCUCUCGGACAGGUUCUGCUGUGUCACCCUGGACAAACUUCUUUCCCUCUCAGAGCCUCAGUUUCCCCAUCCGGACACUGGGGGUGGGAGGCUUGGAUUCAGUAGUCUCCAAGGACCUUCGAAGCCUUGCCGUGCAGUGGGGCCUCCCCUGGGCCCACCCCCUGGCCCCUCUCCCCUGGGCCUCCCUGUGUAGCUUGGGGCUGAGUAGAGGGGGCCAGGCACGGAGGUGCCCCCCUACAUUCCGCAGUCCUGACUCCCCCGCUUCCCUUCCCACAGCCGCCUCCACUUCCUGUUGUGCUUGUGGAGCCUGUGGGAGUUCUCUGGGCUCUGGCUUACCCCCUCCAGCUCCCCCACGCCUUUCAUCACGCUUUCCCAAAUAUUUGUCCUGGCAGAUAAGAGCCUGGUAUUGGAACUGUCACCCGGAGGACUGGCUGUUGGAGCUGGCGGGCGCUGGACGCCAUCCAGCCCAAGUCCCCUCUCCCACUGUACAUACAGAGAAACUAAGGCCCAGAGGGGCCUGGGUUCAGCCAAGGC